rnacentral:snRNA from 1 species
AAUAUGACCUUGUGGCAGUAGGGUUGCAUUAAUCAUGAAGUUGGUGCACCAACAUGGCCCAGCCAUUGCACUCAGGCUGCUCUGACCUUUAUAAAUUCUCCAUUGGGGAUCUGGAUUAUAUUAUUUUUGGUAGUGGGGGGACUCUAUUUGGGGUUUCCCCA